UACGGAGGGUGCAAGCGUUGUCCGGAUUCAUUGGGUUUAAAGGGUGCGUAGGCGGUCUUGUAAGUCAGUGGUGAAAUCUCAGAGCUCAACUCUGAAUGUGCCAAUGAUACUGCAGGACUUGUGAGCAGAUGAGGUAGCUGGAAUGUGUAGUGUAGCGGUGAAAUGCAUAGAGAUUACACAGAACACCAAUUGCGAAGGCAAGUUACUAGUCUGUUUCAGACGCUGAUGCACGAAAGUGUGGGUAGCGAACAGG
rnacentral:rRNA from 1 species